rnacentral:lncRNA from 1 species
GUGUUCUUUUUUAUUUUUAUUUUCCCAACAUAUACAAUUACAUUAUAUGUAAUUGUAUAUGAUAGCUUAUGAUAGCUCUUGAAUAGUGAUAGUAUCAUUCAAUAUUUUCCUCUGCUCUGGUGUAAAUUUCUCAAGCCUUGUUUCUUCAAUAUAUUUCUCCAUCCCAUCUUCUGGAGUUGAUUUAUAUAUAUCCAGCUAUAUAUAUAUAUAUAUAUAGAGAGAGAGAGAGAGAGAGAGAGAGAGAGAGAGCUUUGAGAAGAAAUUAAUAUAUUACUCAUGAAUUCCCUUUUCCACAUAUGUUAUGCCAUUAGCCUUCUUCACUGCUGUUAUAGAUCUUCUUUCCACUUCCUUCUUAAGACAAUAUGCUCCCUGUCCUUGUUCUUACUGGAAAUAAAAAUGGUUUAAAAAGAAGGCAGAAAAGCUGCAUGGUAUCUUUGGAUUGUUCGCCAUAGGAGCCCUCUGCCUGGAAACUCUCAACAUGACCACGAGACCCAUUUUCUUUGCUGUCCUUUCCCAGUGAAAGUGGGGGGAAGCAGGCUUUUUAUUAGUUAAAAUAGGGAAAUGGUGCAUGGGAAAAGGGUUUAAAAAGCAGAGCUAUGCUUCCAAGCCAUUACUUGUCCCCCCCAUACAGACAUCCACUAUAAUGCUGCACAAAAUAUCAACUAUUAAACAUGAAAACAAAAUUGUCAGUCAUCAAAUGGUGGUUUGGACGAUACUUCACUUUCGGUGCAGUCUACGUUUCUCAGUCUAAAAAGCAACUUGUAUUACAUCUAUGAUCUGAUGUGAGUAAUAACCAUUGCUUGCUAACUUCUAUUUCAGGGUGAUCCUGGCCGACCUGGCCGCAGUGGACAACCUGGGCUGCCUGGAGAUAACGGAGCCAGGGGACCAAAAGGUGUUAAUGGAACUCUUGGCACUCCUGGAAUCAAGGGAGGCAAAGGAAGCCCUGGAUCUCCUGGACCCAAAGGAGAGCCUGGUCGUCGUGGUGAUCCUGGAACACAGGGGGGCGCUGGUACUCCUGGAUCCAAGGGGGAAAAAGGAGAUCCUGGCUCUGAAGGACAAAGAGGACUACCAGGAGAAGUUGGAAACAAAGGAGGACAGGGAGAGCGAGGAUUGCCUGGCCCAAGGGGUUCCCAAGGUGGUGUGGGAGAACCAGGAAAAACUGGCUCACGGGGAGAUCCUGGUGAUACAGGUGUAAGGGGUGACCCAGGACCUUCAGGACCAAAGGUAAGUCAUAUAACCAAGGUAAGGAAAAGAAUAAAGUUAAGACAGGGUUACUGUUGUAUUUUACACCCUGAUGUUGUCCUGAUCCAGCAGGGCC